CCUACGGGAGGCAGCAGUGAGGAAUAUUGGUCAAUGGGCGAGAGCCUGAACCAGCCAAGUCGCGUGAAGGAUGAAUGAUCUAUGGUUUGUAAACUUCUUUUAUAUGGGAAUAAAGUGAGGAACGUGUUCCUUUUUGUAUGUACUUUAUGAAUAAGCAUCGGCUAACUCCGUGCCAGCAGCCGCGGUAAUACGGAGGAUCCGAGCGUUAUCCGGAUUUAUUGGGUUUAAAGGGAGCGUAGGUGGUUUAUUAAGUCAGUUGUGAAAGUUUGUGGCUCAACCGUAAAAUUGCAGUUGAUACUGGUAGUCUUGAGUAUAUUUGAGGUAGGCGGAAUGCGUGGUGUAGCGGUGAAAUGCUUAGAUAUCACGAAGAACUCCGAUUGCGAAGGCAGCUUACUAAACUGUGACUGACACUGAUGCACGAAAGCGUGGGGAUCAAACAGGAUUAGAUACCCUUGUAGUC
rnacentral:rRNA from 1 species